CGGGGGUGCCGAGUGCCCGGGGAGCGGGGCAAUUGUGCGGCCAGGCUGUGAGGGAAGGGUAGCUGAUGGACCCCUCAUUGCUGUAGGGUCGGGCUAUGAACCCCAGCUGUCACCUCUCCCUGCUCCUGUUUGUAUGACCCCAGUUGCUUUAAGUGUCCAGUAAGAGGCAAAUACAAGGGACCUGACAACAAACUGGGACUGGAGCUGAAGAGUCAUUGAUGACCCCGUACUCUCUGUGGAUCAGUGGGUGAAGGUCAGAGUGUUCCAGGAAGCCAGGGAUGACCAGCGCACUUCAUACAUUUGCCAUGUUCUCCCCUCAUCUCUGCCUGAUUGAAUAAAAACCAUCUGUAAAA